rnacentral:rRNA from 1 species
UACGUAGGGGGCAAGCGUUGUCCGGAAUUAUUGGGCGUAAAGAGCGCGUAGGCGGUCCGAUAAGUCGGCUGUGAAAGUCAGGGGCUCAACCCUUGAAAGCCGGCCGAUACUGUCGGACUAGAGUCCGGAAGAGGCAAGUGGAAUUCCCGGUGUAGCGGUGAAAUGCGCAGAUAUCGGGAGGAACACCAAUGGCGAAGGCGGGUAGCUGGGCCGACACUGACGCUGAUGCGCGAAAGCCAGGGGAGCGAACGGG